AGCAGGUUAACCUCUCCCUCCCCGCUGCAUCUGGGCUUGUUCUCAUUUGCUGCAGGCUAGGAUUGUGCUACUCCACCAUUAUUGCUGUUCUUUCUGUCAUAUUAUAGCAUUCUAGCACUUUUUUUUUUUUUUUUUGCCAAGGUUAUUAAACAAAGUUAUAACAUUACAAAGCAAACAGCAAUAGAAGUACAACAUACACUGACUCCAAAGACAAAAGAGACCACUGUAUCCAUCUUGCCUGACCUCUUCCUCCUGUUAUAUUUAGAGUUAUUUGUAUAACAUUUUCAUGAGCGUCUCAUUGAAACUCAAUCUUGGUAUCACUUAUUGGUGUUAAGAGAUCAUCUUUUUUUUUUUUUUUUUUAAGAUAAUGCUAAACAUUUAAAAUACUUGAAGGACAGCAGGGACACUACAGAGAUCUUUGAUAAAUAACUUACAUCUGUUCUUUUAUGCUUUUAUUCUUUAUCUAUCAUAGAGAGUAAAGGAUGUAUUAAAGAAAGUUCCAGAUUUAUUAAACUGAGGGAAAUUGCUUGUUUAAAAAAAAAAAAAAAAAACAGGAAAGAAUUCAACAAGAUAAAGCACGUAGGGACAAAAUGAGAAGAUGAGUUAGAAUUUAUAGAAUAGAACUCAAUCAAAACCAAAAAGUUCUUCUAAUUCACAGGGGGAAAGAAUAAUCCAAGAUGUUCACAAUCAGAUAAACCUGCAAAGAAAUGACACCUAAAGAAUGUUAGGGGACUGUUCUUGCAGUGCGGGGUAGCAAAAUAAAGUAUCCAGAGCAGCAUUUAAUGGAACUGGAAUAUGUAGGUAUAAUCUUCUCACAGUCACACAUGGAGUAGUCUAUUCAUUUCUGUAUCAAAUAAAGAAGGAUCUGAUAAAUUCAGAGCAGCAAACAUUCUCAUCAAGGUCUGUAGGAAAACACUUGGACACAGGGUCACCCCGACAGUCGGCAAAGGGAAAAGACAAACCCCCGCCCGCCUGCGUGGGAAGCAGCAACUCAGUAUGAGUUCAAACAGCUCCAUUCUAUUAGGGCAGCAGCCCUCUCUUAUAUAGCACACUUGUUUACAAGACAGGUGCCCCACACAUAUCAAAACAAGAUAGGUGUCCCACAAACAUCAAAGUGUCUCACAAGAAAGUGUCUCACAACGAUAUCAUUUCCCAGGCUAUUUUAGAGCACAGCACCUACUGUUAAUUAAAGCACUACAAGCAGUAAAUUCCACACAGACACAGCUUACUUCUUAUCUAAGGUCAUACCGUAAAUCUUUGAGAAAAGUCAGCUACGCGCUACCAGGCAUGUAAUGUUUCCCAACAAAGGUCGAAAGUAAGUUUGACUUACAAGGAUGAAUGAAAAGACUUAAAAACCUGUAAUUAGAUGAAGAGAUGAGUACAGCCUGGAAAGAAUGGGAGAGUCUUGAAGUAUAUAAAACUUAAGUAUUGUAGAUAAAGGGAUAUAGCUAGCAAACUAAAACCAAGUUAAAUAAAGCAUUAUAGGUGAAAUUAAGAAAGAAUGAGUUUGGAGUGGGUGAACAGUUCCUUUCCUUCCACAAAUUCUGUCGGUUUAUGUGGUGAUCUUUCAGGAGGCAUAGUGAAAGAAACUUUACUUGGCCCAUUCAACAGCUGAGGAAAAAAUGUGUGAGAGAAGGUAGCCCAAUAUGCAGGUUUGACUGCAUUGCUAGCAGUGACCACUGCAGGCUGCUUCUCACUCACUGGGAGGACCUCUCAGGCAGGAAUUGACAUUCAUCCCACUGGACAUUGGCCUUCGCCAUCCUCUGUUCAGGUGAGCAUCCACAUUUCUUGGUCAUAUAAUAGGUCUGUGCUGGGAGAACCAUGGCACUGCACACAUGGGACCUCUGUGUGAUAAGGGGUGGUCUGCAUGCUGGUCAGGCUGCUCACAUCUCUUGGGUUAACUGCUUAAAUCCACCAGGGCACGUAACCUUAUGAAAAAUCAACUCCCUCCCAGCACAGUAUCCAAGUAACAGUAAAAUCCAAACAUCUUCUUUGCCAUUUUUGGCAGGGGUCAGUGAAAUUGUAGAGAAGAUACUGUUCUGACCAGUGUGGAACAUGUGUUUUGCAAAACUAACUGUGCCCAAGUCAGACUGCCUAGCAGAUGAUUUAAUAGGUUUUCUAAGUGUGGCAAGUGCAAGGCUGCUAGUGAGACUCAACAUCAGUUAGGAACAAGCAGCUAUGACUGGCCGCUCCAAGAGUGGCCCUACAGGUGUCUUGCAAGUGGCCUUCCACAGGCUUGUCAUUGUUGGCCUCCCCUGCUAGCUGCACAAGCUCCAAACUGGAGCAGGCUAGGAACUUGACACAAUCUGGCUGGUUAAAGGUGUCCCUCUUAACUUCCUAGGCAGCCCAAGCUUCUGCUGUGCACUUCACAGGCCCUGUAGCAAUCACAAUGCUGUUAACGUUGCAGUCAGCAUCCAUGGAAAGAGGGGAAAAAUGCUUCCCCCGUGCAUUUGUUGGGUUUUGAAUUGGCCACGUGAUAUUUAGUGGAGCAAAAGUAAAAGUGAUCACUGUAGAUCUGUCUAGGGAUCAGGGAAUGUGUUCUGUUUGCUUUUAGAUACUUUUUGAGUGGUCCUGUGAUGGAGCUGAUGAUCCUUGUGGGUCCCUUCCAACGCAGGAUAUUCUGUAAUUCCAAUUAGAAUUACAAAUUUAAGAAGCUAAGAGUAACACUACAACUCAGUAACCCGGCAGUGCUAAAACUGGGAAGUGCUGGUUAAACUUCUUGGCAUUCAUGUCUUGAUGAGCAGUUAAGCAGCACAGCAUAACGAGUGAGUUUCUGGGAGGUAAUGCCUGCUCUGCCCACUUCUCUGACUUAAGGGGAUACUUUCCCUCAAAUUCUGGGCCAGCAUUUCAACACCAGCACUGUAAUAAAGGAGUGUCUGCUCAUUAGCACAGACAACCCUGACUCAUGUACAAUGUGCUCUACCACACAGUUUGUUUUCCUGAAAGAACUUCUCUGUUGUUAUUGCCAAGGAUGCUGUGUUAUUCAUUAAAACUCUUAUUAGCAUGCUGCUGGCUUUCAUUGUCUAACAGCAUCCACUGUGUUAAUGAUCAUACAGUGUAAUGUUGAAUAUUCACUGUGGGAAAUAAUGUGCAUAAUACACACAGAAGGACAAUUGAAUGGACAGUUUAAUCUGCUAGUUUAUUCCUCCACUGCUAUUUAAAAGUCAAUAUUGUUGAGGGGAAAAUGCCAAGAUAUCAUCUUAUGAGGAAUCUUGCCUUUUGAGAUUUAAAGGAGCAAUGAAAAGUAAAGAGAGCAUUAAAAGUAAAGCAGUACUUACAUUAAACUCUUCCAGAUCCAAUUAGUCACACUGUUUCCAGGUGGAUAUAUGUUUCAGGCAAUACGUUUUAACAGUAGCACUGAACAUCUUUCAGCUUCAUUUAAUGGGUGAAAUAAAAUGCAGUGACCUUUCAACAUUUUUUUUUUCUAUAUAAGCCUGAAUCAGAAUCCCAAACCUAAACAUUUUUAGAUGCUGGGACAUUUGGAUCUGAUAGACAGAUUAGCUAGGUAGAUAGGGGUAAGUUUAGGUGUUUGUGGAGGAGGAAAUAGAAGUCUUGUAGUGUGUUGCAGUGUGUGUAAUCAUAAUAUCUGGAUGGAAAGAACAUGCAUUUGAAAAGGAGAGAAUGACUAACUGAGGCAGGGAACAAUGAAGAAGAAAUGCAUUGCAAAGCAAUGACGUUUUCCAGGUAUUGGAAAAGGCACGGGGUUGGGGAACACAAGCCACCUGAGCUUCUGCUAGGUGCUGGUAUUCUGCUAAAGCAGUAUCACAGGAGGGAAGCACCAGGUGAAAUACAGCCCAGCUGAAUACAGCAGGGCCCACAGAGGGGGUGGCUUCCAUAGCAAGUUUGCUGCAUGGUGAGAAGCUAAAAAGCAACAGCCAUGGCUGGACUGGUGCUUGAAAAGUCAGCUUAUUCAGUAAGGGAAAGAGAAGGGACAUUUCACCUCAAACCCUUUACAAUUCUGCCUUUGCAAAUAGGUACCAUGAGCACAUCUGUGCAAACAGCUACAUUAAUGACAUGAUUAACACUACGUUGAUUACAUAGAGGAGAAGUUAUCAUAGGGGUAUUGUCUGAAUCCAGAUGUAUCACCCUGGGAGUACCCCCUUUCUCUUCUUGGCUUUAUGCUACCAGGGAGAAGCUGGAAGCAGAACCUAAAAAGCAAGCAAAUAAAAGUGAUUACCGGAGAGCGUGUUCUACCAAAGCCACGGAAGGCUGAAGUGUGUGACUGUGACAUCAAAAGAGUGAAAGCGGAAAGGGGAGCAGAUUUAAGAAAGGAAAAUGCUGCUGCACAACAGCGGAUGGGAGAGAUCAGCACAUGUGAGAGAAACAACACCAGAGCCACCGAAGUCAGUACAGAAGCAGGGUAGGGGGUGUUCCAGGCGCACAGCAGAAGUUCCCUGUAGCCCAGGAGAGGCCCAGGAGAGGCCCAUGGUGGAGCAGGAUGUCCCCCUGCUGCCUGUGGGCACCACACAUAGCGUAUCUAUGCAUGCAGCCAUGGAGGAGCCCACGGUGCAGCAGGUGGAUGUGGCCUGCAGGAAGCUGCAGCCCAUGGAGAAGCCCCCACAGGAGCAGACUUUGGGCCAGAACUGCAACCUAUGGUGAAGUGCCCCUAGUGGAGGAAAUGGUCUGGAGGAGCUGCUGCCCAUGGGGCCUUGUGCUGGAGCUGAAAAAUGGACCUGUGGUACAGAUCCAUGUUGGAGCAGUUCUUGAAGAGCUGUAGCCUGUGGGAAGCCCAUGCAGACUCCGUUCAGGAAGGAUGGCAUCACUUGGAAGGGACUCCAUGUGGAGCGGGAGAAGACAGUGACCAUGGAGGAGUGGCAGAGACAAAACAUUAUGGACUGACUGCAGCCCCCAUUCCUCCUGUGCAACUUGGGGGGAGAACGUAGAGGACUGAUUGUAGAAAGAUGUUUUUAGUUUGCUUCUAGUUGUCACUGCUCUAAUCUUUUAUCAGUAAGCAAUAAAAUACAUUAAUCUCA